AUGGCCAUUGGUUCAGGGAAGGUGUUUAAUGAGUCAUUGAGGCUGUAGGCUUUGAUGCAAAGUACACACAUUUGAGGAUAGGCCACUGAGUUUGAGUCCUAGCUUUGUCACUAACCAGCUGUAUAAAUUUGGUCAAAUGACUAACGGCCAUGAGUCUCUUUCUUUUCAGUUCCAAUAAUAAUGAUGACAACAACAAUAAUCAUAACGAAAAUUUGUUGAAGGGUUACAAUGCACCUGCAUCACUGGGAUGAUUGAAACUCGACACAGGUGCUGUGGGGACCAGAUGGGGUCAAUGUAUAGAGCACCUGCCAUGUACAAGAAGCUUAAACAUUGGUUUAUUCUGUUGACGGAAGAGGAAAUGAUCAACCACAGUUAUGCGAAUAGGAGCCUGACUUGAAUGUAAUUUCACAAGUGCAGAGCCAAGGCUGGAUAAAAUUGAGGAGGUACUAACAUUGUUUUUGAACUGACUGCAUCAUUCCUGUGUCCUGUGUUACCCUGGUGGUGUCUGUUCUGCUUUUUCCCUUGGGCACCUGGACCUUUUGUGUCCUUUUUCUUCCUCUUAACAUCCUGUCUCCAGAAAAUAUGCAAGAAACUUACCAAACUAAGGUGUGAAAGACUGAUAAGGAUGGGUGGAUAGACAGAUAGAUAGACAGACAAAAAUGUAACUCAAAUUAAGGAAGUACGUACUGUGGAAUAUUGAGCUUAACCAAGUCAAUGUUUGAUUUCCUCAUUCGCAUAUCUUAUUUAUUCAGCAAAUAUGCACAGAGUUCCUCUCAGUGCCAGGCUGAGUGGCGUGGAGUACAUGAGUGAGGCAUGGCCCCUGUCCUCAAGGGUCUCCCAGUCUUAUGGGGCACAGCUGUAUAAAUGUAAAUACUAACAAAAAUAGAGAACUUAGUAUGUGCCAAGCACUAUUCUAUGUGCUUUACAUAUAUUAAUUCAUUUACUGUUUGCCACAGCCCUGUGAGUCGGUUACUAUGAUCACUUAUGGUUUAGAGUAAAGAAACUAAAUCAGAAAGGUUAAAUGUCCUACUUAAGGUUAGACAGAUAGUUAAUGUGGUUUAGCUCCUGAGUUAUUGCUUAUUACCUCUAUGCCUUACUGUCUCACUACACACAAGACAGUACAGUUACUUCUAGGAGUCUACUGUUAGGAAGUAAUCACUGAUGCAGACAAAGACUAUGAGUAGUAAAUUUGAUAAAGCAAAAGGAACAGGGAAAAUCAUAACAAUCUAUCAGUAGCACAAUGCCAAAGUUAAUUAUAAUACAUAUAUAUGAGGAAACAUUCAUAAGCAUUAAAAGAAACAAGGCUGUCACUCUAAACUUCAAGUGAAAAAAGAAAGUACAAAAUACAAUUUAUAUUCGUUAGUUUAAAUUUUUAAAGUAUGUGUAAUAUAUAAAUAUAUCUGUAUUUUCAAAGUGCUUGUUGGCCAGGCUUGGUGGCUCACACCUGUAAUCCCAGCAUUUUGAGAGGUCAAUGUGAGCAGAUCACAUCACAAGGUCAGGAUAUUGCGACCAUCCUGGCCAACAUGGUGAAAACCCAUCUCUACUAAAAAUACAAAAACAGCUGGGUGUGGUGGAGCAUGCCUGUAAUCCCAGCUACUUGCGAGGCUAAGGCAGGAGAAUUGCUUGAGCCCAUGAGUCGGAGGUUGCAGUGAGCCAAGAUCAUGCCACUGAACUCCAGCCUCGUGACAGAGCAAGAGUCCGUCUCAAAAUAAAAAAGUGUUUGUUGUACAGUAGUCACUUAAUUAUUGGCCUUUAUCCUUGUCAGAUAGUGUGUAAGGCAAUUAAUAUCAACACAUAUACAAUACACUCUCUGACCUGGAGGAGUGUCUAGAUUAGGGAGAAGCUAGAUAUUUUAAUAAUUGAGCUUCAGGCACAUUAGAGGGUUGUUUACAGGGCAGGGGUGCCCAAGGGAUUUGGGCUUGGCUGUGAGCGGUGGGGAGGGAUCAAGGAAACAUUCACAGAGUAAGACAGCCUUGCUCUUUCCAUCUUGCACCUCUUCUUCAAAGGACAAACCGAUAUUCUUUGUUUAUGUUUGUCUCUUUAAGAAAGAACCAGAGAAUGUCAAAGAACAUCUGUCUUUCUCCAAACCUCCAGUGACCUUCCAGCAAGUCUGUCUUUGACUACUUCCAUUAUGCCAGCUGAGAGGUCCAAUCUGUUUUAAUCCUUUCCCAAUGUUCACGGAGAUGUGUCAUUUUAAUCCAGGAGCUCCUCUAGUCUCCGGGAUGGAAAGAGAGUUGAAGCUCAAAUCCUGGCUUCUGACCUGAAACUUUCUCUAGCUGGGAUACUCUCCAGAGUUGCAGCUGGGUUUUUGACACUCUUAAGAGUGGCAUCCCUUCUCCAAGAUACUCUGCCACUAGUGCUUCGCAAUGAGUGAGAAGGAAUCAGCACACUCCUGUUGACUGCAUGCUGACUGUGCAUCAGGCAUUGCCCCUGCAUUUUUCUCCUCUCUGUAUAAUAAUUAUAUGAUGUUGGUUUUAUUAUCUACAAUUUAAAGGUGAAAAGGUCUAACUCAGCACAGGUGAUGGUCGUGCCAACUGAGGUCUUAUGGACAUUUAUAACUAGAGUGCCUAAUAUCAUUCUUGGCAUAUAGAGGGAAUUCUAUCCGUAGUUUUAUUUUUGAUUCUCACAGAUUCUAAGCGGCAGGUUUGAUUCUGGAAUCUAGGUGUACAGGAUCCCUGAAACUUUUCUUUUUCUACUCUGGCAAGCUGCUUCUCAGCCUGGAUUCUCACCUGCCACAGUGUUCUUUUUGUGGGUAUUUUUCCUUCCUGGCAGCUCUUACUUAUUAAGAGGAGAUAGGUUCAUCCACUCUGGCCACCUCGUAACUAUCAGUAAUUCGUGAUGGUUUCUAGAUCAAAGAGCUGGGGAGCAUUUCUGGGUGGAGUGUGGGAACCCUCUGGAUGUUUGCUGGAAUGCUGUUCCACACUGUGUACCUGGGAGGGUAAUCUUUCAUCCUUUCUGAGCCUUCUUUAGAAGCCUAUCAAACAACUCCAGGCCUUUUCCUUGUCCCUUUUAUCACCCUAGGGAACAAAGUUGGGACUUGUGUAACUGCAGGGCUCUUUUCUGUGGGAACAAUAAUCUCAUUUCAAUAUGUGUGGGUGGGUAGAUUAUACGUUAAGGGCUUGGAGCUCAUUUGUAGGACUAGGGAGGGACUGGGUUAAAUAGUUGUAUGAUUAACAAACUGCUGUGUUUUUAUGGUCUGGAAAGAAAAGGUUUCUUCAAU
ensembl:lncRNA